UACGUAGGGUGCGAGCGUUAAUCGGAAUUACUGGGCGUAAAGCGUGCGCAGGCGGUUUUAUAAGCCAGAUGUGAAAGCCCCGGGCUCAACCUGGGAAUGGCAUUUGGGACUGUAAGGCUGGAGUAUGGCAGAGGAGACUAGAAUUCCUAGUGUAGCAGUGAAAUGCGUAGAUAUCAGGAGGAAUACCGAUGGCGAAGGCAGGUCUCUGGGCCAAUACUGACGCUCAUGCACGAAAGCGUGGGGAGCAAACAGG
rnacentral:rRNA from 1 species